rnacentral:rRNA from 1 species
AUGAACGCUGGCGGCGUGCCUAAUACAUGCAAGUCGAGCGAACAGACGAGGAGCUUGCUCCUCUGACGUUAGCGGCGGACGGGUGAGUAACACGUGGAUAACCUACCUAUAAGACUGGGAUAACUUCGGGAAACCGGAGCUAAUACCGGAUAAUAUAUUGAACCGCAUGGUUCAAUAGUGAAAGACGGUUUUGCUGUCACUUAUAGAUGGAUCCGCGCCGCAUUAGCUAGUUGGUAAGGUAACGGCUUACCAAGGCAACGAUGCGUAGCCGACCUGAGAGGGUGAUCGGCCACACUGGAACUGAGACACGGUCCAGACUCCUACGGGAGGCAGCAGUAGGGAAUCUUCCGCAAUGGGCGAAAGCCUGACGGAGCAACGCCGCGUGAGUGAUGAAGGUCUUCGGAUCGUAAAAAUCUGUUAUUAGGGAAGAACAAAUGUGCAAGUAACUAUGCACGUCUUGACGGUACCUAAUCAGAAAGCCACGGCUAACUACGUG